rnacentral:rRNA from 1 species
CCCUUAGAUGUUCUGGGCCGCACGCGUGCUACACUGAGUGGAUCAGCGGGUCAGGUUGCGCGAAAGUGUUUCCUAAUCUUGAAAUCCGCUCGUGAUGGGGAUUGACGGUUGCAAUUUUCCGUCAUGAACGAGGAAUACCUUGUAAGCGCGGGUCAUCAUCCCGCGCUGAAUACGUCCCUGCCCUUUGUACACACCGCCCGUUGCUCCUACCGAUUGAGUGGUCCGGUGAGGCUUUGGGAUCUGAGCAAAGAGAGCGUUUCGCUCGUUUUGCCCGGAAAACUCAGUCGAACCUUAUCAUUUAGAGGAAGGAGAAGUCGUAACA